rnacentral:rRNA from 1 species
AUUGAACGCUGGCGGCAGGCCUAACACAUGCAAGUCGAGCGGAGCGGCGGACGGGUGAGUAAUGUAUGGGGAUCGGCCCGAUAGAGGGGGAUAACUACUGGAAACGGUGGCUAAUACCGCAUAGUAACGGGUGAACCCAUGUGGGAUUAGCUAGUAGGUGGGGUAAAGGCUCACGUAGGCGCCGAUGUCUAGCUGGUCUGAGAGGAUGAUCAGCCAAACUGGGACAUGGAGACGGCCCAGACUCCUAGGGGAGGCAGCAGUGGGGAAGUUUGGAAAAUGGGCGAAAGCCUGAUCCAGCCAUGCCGCGAGUGUGAAGAAGGUCUUCGGAUUGUAAAGCACUUUAAGUUGGGCGGCGUUACCAGCAGAAUAAGCACCGGCUAACUACGUGCCAGCAGCCGCGGUAAUAC